CGAUUUCUACUUGCUUCGGGUUAAUGAAAUGUACAUGGGUAUCGAUCGCUCCAGCGGUUACAAUUAAGCCUUCUCCAGCAAUGAUUUCGGUUGCAGUACCAAUGAUAAUAUCGAUGUUAUCGGUAAUGAGAGGGUUUCCACUUUUACCAAUACCAAAUAUUUUACCAUCUCGAAUUGCGAGAUCCGCUUUGCAAAUGCCUGUGUAAUCUAAAAUAAUGACAUUGGUUAUGACGGUGUCUGCUACACCUUCUUUACGGGUUGCAAGAGGGUGCUGACCCAUGCCAUCUCG
rnacentral:sRNA from 1 species